rnacentral:rRNA from 1 species
GGCUAAUACCGCAUACGUCCUACGGGAGAAAGGGGGCUCCGGCUCCCGCUAUUGGAUGAGCCUAUGUCGGAUUAGCUAGUUGGUGAGGUAAAGGCUCACCAAGGCAACGAUCCGUAGCUGGUCUGAGAGGAUGAUCAGCCACAUCGGGACUGAGACACGGCCCGAACUCCUACGGGAGGCAGCAGUGGGGAAUAUUGGACAAUGGGGGCAACCCUGAUCCAGCCAUGCCGCGUAUGUGAAGAAGGCCUUCGGGUUGUAAAGCACUUUCAGCGAGGAAGAACGCCUAGUGGUUAAUACCCAYUAGGAAAGACAUCACUCGCAGAAGAAGCACCGGCUAACUCCGUGCCAGCAGCCGCGGUAAUACGGAGGGUGCAAGCGUUAAUCGGAAUUACUGGGCGUAAAGCGCGCGUAGGUGGCUUGAUAAGCCGGUUGUGAAAGCCCCGGGCUCAACCUGGGAACGGCAUCCGGAACUGUCAAGCUAGAGUGCAGGAGAGGAAGGUAGAAUUCCCGGUGUAGCGGUGAAAUGCGUAGAGAUCGGGAGGAAUACCAGUGGCGAAGGCGGCCUUCUGGACUGACACUGACACUGAGGUGCGAAAGCGUGGGUAGCAAACAGGAUUAGAUACCCUGGUAGUCCACGCCGUAAACGAUGUCGACCAGCCGUUGGGUGCCUAGCGCACUUUGUGGCGAAGUUAACGCGAUAAGUCGACCGCCUGGGGAGUACGGCCGCAAGGUUAAAACUCAAAUGAAUUGACGGGGGCCCGCACAAGCGGUGGAGCAUGUGGUUUAAUUCGAUGCAACGCGAAGAACCUUACCUACUCUUGACAUCCUGCGAACUUGUGAGAGAUCACUUGGUGCCUUCGGGAACGCAGAGACAGGUGCUGCAUGGCUGUCGUCAGCUCGUGUUGUGAAAUGUUGGGUUAAGUCCCGUAACGAGCGCAACCCUUGUCCUUAUUUGCCAGCACGUAAUGGUGGGAACUCUAAGGAGACUGCCGGUGACAAACCGGAGGAAGGUGGGGACGACGUCAAGUCAUCAUGGCCCUUACGAGUAGGGCUACACACGUGCUACAAUGGCCGGUACAAAGGGUUGCCAACUCGCGAGAGUGAGCUAAUCCCGAAAAGCCGGUCUCAGUCCGGAUCGGAGUCUGCAACUCGACUCCGUGAAGUCGGAAUCGCUAGUAAUCGUGAAUCAGAAUGUCACGGUGAAUACGUUCCCGGGCCUUGUACACACC